UCAGGUGGUCAGAUAAGUAGUCUAUACUCAGAUCCCCAGCCUCUCGCGCCGCCGAGCGCGACUCUAUCGAGACUCUCGACUGUCUCGAGUCAGCAGCACCAGCAGCAUUUACUCUCGCUCGAGCGAGUGUAAGAGCAGAUCAAGUCAAGUGCAGCGAUAGUCUGGCAUUUCGGCGGAGGCUAUAUAAUAACGAAACGAAACCGGUGCGAGACGCGCGACAGUGUGCGUCUAUACCUACAUACGCGCGCGCAAGCUCGUGUUGUGUGUGUGCGUGUGUAUGUGUGUGCUCGUGCCAUUCGAGUACUUGGAGUUGGAACUUGGGAUUGAAAGGAGCCCUGCAGCGUCGGCGUUACCGCAGAGACCAUCGGGCUGCUGCCUUGCCACGCGCCGAAAAAUCCGCAAAAUUUUCCGCCUCCCAUGUUGCAGAAGCCACCGCUGCUGGUCGGACACUUGACGCGAAAAAAGUUGUGAAAAUAUAACUACCAGACAUGGGCAAGGCCAAGAAGGGCAAGCGCGCCGACAAGGACGACGACUUCGACAGCGAUGCGGAGGUAGCAAGUACUACUGUCAAUGAUGAACCUGUCAAGUCCAAAAAGUCCAAAGAUAAGAAGAAGAAGGCCGAUGAUGUCGAUGAUUUGGCUGAUGAUCUCCAAGAACUAAAAGUAGAGAAAACUAAAGCCUCCAAAAAGGAUAAGAAAAAUAAAAAGCGUGGUGGAGAUGAUUCUGACAAUGAUCUGCCUAUAUCUAAGGAUAAGGCUGAUUCAGGAUCAGACUCUGAAGCUGAAAUUUCACGUGGUAAACAAAAAACUCGUAAAAAUCAGCCUGUCAAGAAAGGGUUUGCUGCCUUAUCUAUUGAAUCUGAUAAUGAAUCGGAAAAUGAAAAGCCAAAAUCUAAAUCUAAAGCAAAAAAAGGCAAAAAAGACUUGGAUUUAGAAUCCGAGGAUGAGGGUGAAGAAAAGAAGCCUAAAAGUAAAAAUAAGAAAAAGGGUAAAAAGCAGGCAGAAUCAGACGAUGAGUCUGACCAUCAAGUGCAAAAAGCCAAGGGAAAAGGGAAGAAGGGCAAAAAGGCUGCCGAUUCUGAUGCUUCUCAAGAUGAAGAACUCAAGGUCCAAGCUAAAAAUAAGUCCAAUGCGAAAAAGAAUAAGAAGCAAGAAUCUGAUGAUGAAUCAGACGAUCAAGUUCCGAAACCCAAAGGGAAAACGAAAGACAAGAAGAGCAACAAGGCAGCCUCAGAAUCAGACGAUGAAUUCAACAUCGUUCCAACUAAAGCGAUUAAACCUGUAUCAGCUAAAAAGGUACCAAAAGCUAGUUUUGCUUUGCUAAACAUGGAUGAUGAUGAUGGUGAUGAUGAUCAAAAAGAUGUAGUAUCACCUCCUCCAUCCGACGACGAAUCGGAAAAAACAGAAAGUAAAGACCGCGGUAAAUCUUCUAAGCCUCAAAAGCUAGAACCUCGAGAAUCUCAAAAAGAGUCCAAAAAGGGAAAGAAGGCCAAGAAAAAACGUAACGACAGUGACGAAGAUAUUGAUAAAGUUCUAGCAGAAUUGGAAAUGGAAUAUUCGGGAAAGAAAUCUGUUCAAGAGCAAGUGACAAAUGCGCAAAAAAUUGAACAAGAUGACAAAAAGAAAAACAAGUCCAAGGAAGCUGACCAAGAACCGGAAAAAGAAAAGGCAGAUGCGCCAGCAGAGGGUGAAGAGGGUAGUACUGUAAAAACCGCGGCUCAAAAGAAAAAGGAGAAGAAAGAAAGAGAGAAGCAGAAAAAGCUUGCUCAAAAGAAGGCAGAAUCUACGAAAAAAGCUGGUGAUACUGGAAUUCCUCAAGAGGUUGAAAAAGCAACUGGAAAACCUGCGCAAGUUGAAAAAGAUGCCAGCGAUGGAGAAGGUGAAGAACAAGAUGAAGGAACCAAGAAGAAGAAGAAGGGAGGAAAGGAAGAAACAAAAGCAGAGAAAACUAAAGGACCUGGAAAGAAGAUGAUUGCUGCUAUGCAAGAAGCUUUGAAAAAAGCUAAAGAAGAAGAGGAACGACUCAAACGAGAAGAAGAAGAAAAAAUACGCUUAGAAGAAGAAAGAGAGAGAGCUCGUUUGGAAAAACUCCAAAAAGAGCAAGAGAAAAAGGAAAAGAAGAAGUUGAAAGAAAAACAAAGAAAAGAGAAACUCAAGGCUGAAGGAAAAUUUUUAACAACCAAACAAAAGCAAGCGCAAGCUAGGGCACAAGCUAUGCUUGAAGCACUUAAAGCUCAAGGAUUAGAAAUGCCCGAGGCAGGCGAAAAGAAACCAAGACCAGGAACAAGAAUACGACCCAAGCAAGUGAAACAACAGUCAAGUACCGAAGGUCAAGACGAGGUUAAAACGUCUGAUGAUAUAAAAUCUGACCAAGUACAGGUAGAGAUCAUUGACAAGCAAGAGAAAGUUCAAGAGAAAAAGCAAGAUGAAGAAGAUGGCGUGAAAGAUGCUUGGGAUGCAGAGAGUAGUGAAGAAGAACCAGAAGAAGAUAAGUCUGAUGGUACCAAGGAACCCAUUAGCCAAGGGGCCGUAAAAACACAGAAAAGUGCUGAGAAAGAGUCGACUCCUGAGGACGAUAACGAGUCUUCCGAGAACGAAUCUGAUUCGGAGAGCCAAGGUUCCGAGUCCGAAUCUGAAAGCGAAUCAGAAAACGAAAGCGACGUUGAUGAUAAGAGAACCGACGCCGAGCGUAAAAAAGAGCAAGUCCGUCAAAGAAUUCAGAAUCGAAGAAUCGAGGCAGAAAAGAAACGAACCGUUGAUAACUUGCGAGCCGCUGUGGUUUGUGUACUGGGCCACGUCGAUACAGGCAAGACCAAGAUCCUUGACAAACUGAGACGAACCAAUGUGCAAGACGGUGAAGCUGGUGGUAUUACUCAACAAAUUGGUGCCACCAACGUUCCAAUCGAAGCCAUUCAGGAGUCGACGAAGCACGUUAAAGGAUUUGCAGACAAACAGUUCAAAAUUCCUGGACUGUUAAUCAUUGACACACCUGGUCACGAAUCAUUCAGUAAUCUCAGAAAUAGAGGAUCGUCUCUUUGCGAUAUAUCGAUUCUAGUUGUAGACAUUAUGCACGGUUUGGAACCUCAAACAAUUGAAAGUAUCCAACUUUUAAAAUCCAAGAAAUGCCCAUUUGUUGUAGCUCUCAACAAAAUUGACAGAUUGUACGACUGGCAGACUAUGAAUCGAAAAGACGUACAAGACAUCAUAAAAAGUCAAGCGAUCAUUACUCAACAGGAGUUUCAAAAACGCUCCAAGGACAUUAUUGUUCAAUUUGCUGAGCAAGGUCUUAAUGCUGCCGUAUUUUAUGAAAAUCCUGAUCCUCGAAGUUACGUGUCUUUGGUUCCAACGAGUGCCAUAACAGGAGAAGGAAUGGGUAACCUGUUGGCGCUAAUAGUUGAUGCCUGUCAGGGACCACUGGCCAAGCGACUUAUGUUUAGUGAGGAGUUGCAAGCUACGGUGCUAGAAGUCAAAGCUCUUCCCGGCCUUGGUACAACGAUAGACUGUAUUCUAGUCAACGGUAUUCUUCGGGAGGGUGAAACGAUGAUUGUGGCGGGUACGGAAGGACCAAUCGUCACGCAAAUUCGUUCACUUCUUAUGCCCCAGCCUUUGAAGGAACUGCGAGUCAAGGGCGCAUAUGUAGAGCAUCGUCAAGUAAAAGCCGCUCAGGGAGUCAAAAUUGCUGCAAAAGAGCUUGAAAAAGCCAUAGCAGGACUGAAUCUGAUGGUGGCUCAAAAGCCAGACGAGGUGGAGAUUUUGAAGGAGGAAAUCGCUAAGGAACUGACUCACGCCUUAGGCAAAAUAAAGCUCGCCGAGCGAGGUGUCUUCGUGCAAGCUUCAACUCUUGGUGCUCUUGAGGCGCUUCUCGACUUCUUGAAAUCCAGCAAAAUUCCGUAUGCGGGCAUACGUAUUGGUCCUGUUGUCAAGAAGGACGUGAUGAAGGCCUCCAUCAUGUUGGAGCACGACAGCCAGUACGCAACGAUUCUGGCCUUCGACGUCAAGAUCGAGCGUGACGCGCAAGAGCUCGCCGAUAGCCUGGGCGUCAAGAUCUUCCAAGCCGACAUCAUCUACCACCUCUUCGACAGGUUCAUCGAGUACAAGGAGCAGCUGAGGCAGCGCAAGCGCGACGAGCACAAGCACAUAGCCGUCUUCCCCUGCAAGCUCAAAAUCCUGCCGACGUGUGUGUUCAAAUCGAGAGAUCCCAUCAUUGUAGGCGUCAUGGUCGAAGCCGGCAUCAUCAAGGAGGGAACUCCAAUUUGCGUACCGAGCAGAGACUUCCUCGACCUGGGCAUCGUGUCGAGCAUAGAGUUCAACCACAAGACGGUGGAGACGGCGCGCAAGGGCCAAGAGGUCUGCAUAAAGAUCGAGCCCAUACCCGGCGAGGCGCCCAAGAUGUUCGGUCGACACUUUGACGAGAAGGACAUGCUCGUCAGCAAGCAGCAGUCCUCGGCUCCUCUUCCUUUUCGCUGCUCCUGCUCGUCCGCGGCUUGGAACAGCUGCGCGCAAAUGAGCUGGAGCGAGAGCAAGAACCGGUUUUUUGACCCCUUCGCGCACAAUGAAAUAAUGAAUGAACAGCUCACCUGCGACGGAGAGCAACGAGCAUUCGUCCGAUCGGCCGCGGGAGCUCGAUAGAAUGACGUACGCGCGUGCGUAAUCGGAGCUAUGACUAUCCACGAGGGUCAUUAUGAAAUUCCUGGACUUUCGAGCAGCCUGCGCACAACAGUCGCUGUACACCUCUGGCCUGACUCAUCGAGUUGAGAAGAAAAAACUUUGUCAUUGCUCGGUCUCUCUCUCUCUCUCUCUCUCUCUGUUUCCCGAUUAAUCGAUUAAUUUUCCUCAGCAUUACGGAAUUUCCCCACGUCGCUGCGGCGGCCUGACUCGAAUCGUUGAACUAUUAAAAUCUCGCGUGACAUAACAAGAGAACCAAAACAAACAGAAACGUCGACAAUCAAGACUCGGGCGUCGAUGCGGCUCGCAGCGUGCAUCCGAAAUGCCGAUGCCCGGCCGCCUCUCGAAACGCGCGAGCUGCUCGCAGCUUGGCGGCCGAAUUAGCGGCGACCGCCCCGCGUCUAACCCGCGUCUAACGGUUCCCCCGACGAUCGUCAUCCGCGCCACGUAUCCGAACGAUAACGGAAGCGGGAGACGCGACGAGCCUACGAGUCUCGAGUCGAUCGGAAUUAUGCGACCCUCCGCCGAGGCGCGGCGCAAAAGUGCCGCGCGACUCGGCCUCGAAAUACGAUUCCCGCAACGAGCGCGAUCGGGUGACCGCGAGCUGAGGCGACAGUAUUAAAGCCGACCCCGUAAAACGAGCGAGAGGGAAAGAAGAAACUGAAAACGGCGAGGAAACGCCGCGAGGCUCGAUUACGGCAGCUCGCUGUGUCCGUCGGACAAAUGCCCGCGUUAGCUCGAGUCGUCGGCCAAGGUCGCUCCCCGCGGGCCGAACUGGCUUCGUCGAGACUCGGCUGAUAGUAAGUAAAUAAGCCGACAGAGCAUAGAUGCCUGCAAGGACUACUUCAGGGACGACCUCCUCAAGACCGACUGGCAGCUCAUAAUGGAACUCAAGAAGCUCUUCCAGAUCCUCUAAU